GGGCCCGCACAAGUGGUGGAGCAUGUGGUUUAAUUCGAUGCAACGCGAAGAACCUUACCAACCCUUGAAAUCUAGCGAAGUUCACAGAGAUGAGAAUGUGCCUUCGGGAACGCUAUGACAGGUGUUGCAUGGCUGUCGUCAGCUCGUGUCGUGAGAUGUAUGGUUAAGUCCAGUAACGAGCGCAACCCCUAUCCUUAUUUGCCAGCGCGUUAAGGCGGGAACUAUAGGGAGACUGCCGGGUGAAACCCGGAGGAAGGCGGGGACGAGGUCAAGUCAUCAUGGCCCUUAUGGGUUGGGCUACACACGUGCUACAAUGGGAAGUACAGAGGGAUGCGAAAGCGCGAGCUGGAGCCAAACCCUUAAAACUUUUCUUAGUCCGGAUUGGAGUCUGCAACUCGACUCCAUGAAGUCGGAAUC
rnacentral:rRNA from 1 species